CGGGGCGUAGCGCAGGCUGGUAGCGCGGCUGCUUUGGGAGCAGCAGGUCGCUGGUUCGAAUCCAGUCGCCCCGACCA
rnacentral:tRNA from 1 species